UACGGGGGGGGUAAGCGUUGUUCGGAAUUACUGGGCGUAAAGGGCUCGUAGGCGGCCAACUAAGUCGGACGUGAAAUCCCUCAGCUUAACUGGGGAACUGCGUCCGAUACUGGAUGGCUUGGAUUUGGGAGAGGGAUGCGGAAUUCCAGGUGUAGCGGUGAAAUGCGUAGAUAUCUGGAGGAAUACCGGUGGCGAAGGCGGCAUCCUGGACCGACAUUGACGCUGAGGAGCGAAAGCUAGGGGAGCAAACGGG
rnacentral:rRNA from 1 species